CUCCAGUUCUGGAACAAAUGUUAGUGUCGUAAAAUUGCAGGAUGCAUUUUACCAUACGAGAAGCAAACAUAUCAGCCAUCGCAAAAAUAAACAUGUUUUCUUUUUGAGUGAAACAGUUUCAUUUCAUCGGCGAGGAAGGCCUAGUUUUAUAUUGUGUUUAAGGGUCAGGUGGCAGGAAACAAAAAUGAUUUUUUUCGUUUUCCGAAGGUCGGCAAUGCUACGGACUUAUAUUGCGCACUGACUUCAUCGAAUUCCCUGCAGGAAAAAAACUGUACCAGCCAGGUUAAAUGAUCCGAUGAACGAAAACGCUAUGCUGGAGUGAUGUAUCAGCUGAAAUUAUUCUUUUAAUAUUAGAAACUAAACAUGUUUAAAUAUAAA